rnacentral:rRNA from 1 species
CAGCCGCCGCGGUAAUACGAAGGGUGCAAGCGUUAAUCGGAAUUACUGGGCGUAAAGCGUGCGUAGGCGGUGAGUUAAGUCUGCUGUGAAAUCCCCGGGCUCAACCUGGGAAUGGCAGUGGAUACUGGCUCGCUAGAGUGUGUCAGAGGAUGGUGGAAUUCCCGGUGUAGCGGUGAAAUGCGCAGAGAUCGGGAGGAACAUCAGUGGCGAAGGCGGCCAUCUGGGACAACACUGACGCUGAGGCACGAAAGCGUGGGGAGCAAACAGGAUUAGAUACCCCGGUAGUCCCUGUCUCUUAUAC